rnacentral:rRNA from 1 species
UAACGGCCGCGGUACCCUAACCGUGCAAAGGUAGCAUAAUCAUUUGUCUAUUAACUGUAGACCUGUAUGAAAGGCAAAAUGAGGGUUUAACUGUCUCUUAUAAUAAAUCUAUUAAACUGAUCUUCUAGUAAAAAAGCUAGAAUACCAACAUAAGACCAGAAGACCCUGUGAAGCUUGAACUAAACUAUUAAACCAAAUAAUACUUACUUUUGGUUGGGGCGACCUUGGAAACAAAAAAAACUUCCAAACACAAAUAUUAUAAAUAUAACCACAGGCUUACAAGCCAAUAAACGACCCAGUAAAACUGACAAUUGAACAAAGUUACUCCAGGGAUAACAGCGCUAUCUUCUUCAAGAGCCCAUAUCAAAAAGAAGGUUUACGACCUCGAUGUUGGAUCAGGACAUCCCAAUGGUGCAGCCGCUAUUAAAGGUUCGUUUGUUCAACG